rnacentral:lncRNA from 1 species
UUUUCUCUCUUCUCCGGCGAGCGAUGGCAACGACAGAAUCGGAUCUUGAUGAGUUUUUGAAUCUCGAUUAUGAGUUUCGGUAUCCAAGUCUUGCCGAUACGGAGGCUUUCAUGACCGGAGUUUGCUCCGCCGCUUUCCAAACUCUUCUUCUACCGGUAAACUCUUCUCUCUUUCAAUCAAUUUUUGUUUAUUAAUUCUGAAACUGAAAUUAAUGUUUUGUCACCUCUGAUGACGUGGAAUCCUACCAUGCAUGCAGUUUGUGUGAGGAUCGCUCAACGCUUACUUAACAGGAAAUAACAAGAACAAACUUUACAACUAUGUCUUAAAAUAAAACAAAAGUGACGAUUUUUCCAAUAAAAUAAGUUAAUUGUUUUUGAAAUGAUUUAUAAUCGUUCUACAUCAGAUUUAGGAUUGAGACGUAUGAGAGAAAGGAAGGCAUUAGAAAUUUUGCUAAGUAUGAAAAAAAAUAGUUUGUGGACAUAUUGGGGAGUUAAGAAGAGGGUAAGUGAAAAAGGUCCUCAUGUUGAAUGAAUGUGGUGGGUUGCUUCCUUAUGAAGAAUUUUUGUGAGCAAAAAGACUUGGUAACUUGUGUGAACGCAAUGACUUUGGUGUGUGGGCCUUUUUUUUUAUUAAUGUCUUGCUCUCUCUCUUUUGGAGUUGGACCCAAUGUCUUCAAUCCAUAAUAGUACAGUUCCAGCCAGCACCAACAAUCUUGUCUUUAUUUCUUAAUUAAGAUUAGUUAUAAUAAUAAUAUUAGUGGUGGGAAUCGAAUCCUACACAAGAUUAAUAUUAUUUGCAUUCGGUUUACUUUAAAUUCACGCACCCGGUGGAUUGGUGGAACUGAGAAUUAUAAAGAUGACUAGUACUAAUUUUAAGGUCGUAUUAAAAAAUAUUUUGUGAAAUAUUCGAGUUAGUGAAUCAUUUUCCAAGCUAUUAGUCGUACAAAUAUUUCCCUCAAAUGAAAAAGAGUCUGCUCCACCCGACUGAACUUGCACGUGACUCUUCAAAUGAAUAAAGGAAAAUGAAUUUAUUGGCUAAGAGAAGAGCUACUAUAAUAUUAAGCAACGUUUAUAUCUCUCGUUAGUUCAGAAGAAGAGAUACCAAUCAAUCAAUUUAUAUUAGUUUUAGAACUUAGAACAUUAUCAACCUAAGUUACAUUUAAAGAAUUGUGUAUAAUUUACCCACAUGAUGUGAGACCAAUAAAAAUUAUCCACGAGAGAUGAUUUAUUGGCUAACAUAUUUUACUUAUAAUAUGACAAUUGUUAGAGAGUAGGGAGAGAGGGGUUAAAUUUCAAAAUAACAAAAGGUAUAUGUAAAAUUUUGUCAAAUACUUUAUAAGUUUGACAUAGAUAGUAGACUACAAGUGAAUAAUUUUCAUUGAUGCCACAUCAUGUUGGGGUAAAUUAUUCACUAUUGUUCAAAACUAUUGAGAGAAAACCUUAGAACCAGCAUCAAUGGUCCGCGCUAUUUUAUUUUCUGUCCUUUAUUACCUUUGCUCAUAAACAUCUCCGAUGUUUACCUUCUUUAUUUAAGAAGGUCUUGUAGUUUUUCUUUAGCAAUACAUAUACUUGUGAAAAUAAAAAAUAAACAGGGACCCAUUUUUAUUUCCAAGGUUUUCUUUUAUCAUCUUCACUUUAACUAAUAAACAUGAAGUAAAUAGAUCCUUCUUAAAAAAAAUUGAAAUAAAUAGAUCCAACAGUUUUCGUAUAGUUUCCUUUUACAAUUUUUGAAAAUAGAUCUAGCAUUUUAAGAAAUUUUGAAAAUGUCAAAACAUUGUUCUUAUUAUUUUUUGAAAACGCAUUCUUAUCACAAUUAUUUGCUACGCAAAUCUUUCAUCUUCAAUUUAAUAAAAAAUAAAUAAAAAUCUUUCAUCUUCAACUUAAAAUAAACAUAAAUUUUGUUGAGUAAAAUAAGAAAUGUGUUCCAAACGUAAACCGGUCGUAGUUUUUUUUUUAAGAGUAAACGGAUCCUAGUUAUUGUCAUGUAGAAAGAAGCUAAGUACACAUAUAAGUUAUAACCAAUAAUUUAUUGUCUUUAUUAUUUACUAGGUUUAUCAUUUUUUUGGUAGAACUAUGUUCACCAUCUUUUGUUGUUAAUAAUUAAUCUCGAUAGAAAAAGAAAAAAAAAAGAGUUUGAUUUUGAUAUGUUGUUAAUGGAGAAAGUUUUAUACCAUCCGUAAAUCGCAAUAUAUUAUACAUAUGACUUUAUAAGAAGCUAUAAUUAAAGUCAAAUAUUUUUGUACUAAUCGUAUUAAUAUCAAAUAUAUUUUUUUGGUACGAAAUGAAGAGGAUAUAUUUCAUAAAUUUGAGACAACUUCUCAAUUGGUCCCCAAUAUGGAGGAGGUUUACCAAAAACUCGCUAUUGGUAGUGUAUUUUACUACAAAUUUGAGCAAUAUAGAGACAUAUUGUGAGACUGUCUAAACUUUUUUUUUUUUUUUCAAACUGUCUAAACUUGAUCCAACUGAACUUGAAAAAUCCUACCAUCCUUUGAAAUAUACUACAUGGUUGCACAAACAAAGAAAAACUAUAUGGUUGGUAAAAAAACAUUUGAACACAUCAUUUAAUUAUUUUAAAAAUACACGUUAUUUAAUCAUUUGCUCUUUCUAUUUUUUCUUAAGCAUGUGAACAUGCAAGACUUCGUCCCAUUCCCAUCAUUUAUUUAUAAAGUACUCCUAAAUCCUAAUACUACCGCCACUAUCUGCGUGGACCCGUUUUAAAAUUUGCGGUUUGAUGAAGUGAUAUAUACUUUGUUAGAUACAUGCGUAGUUUAUGAUCUAUAGUGUAUGCUGAAGAGUAAAAAAAAGAUUGAUGUAACAACAGCUACAGCCCUCAAGAAGAAUUUAUUUUAGAAUACGAUCAAAAUGUUAGUUCCAGCUUAUGCAACCUUUUCAUGAUUGAAUUGCAGGAUGUUGUGAGUUCAUUUUCAACUUGUGGUGGACUAACAAACUCCCAAAACUUUACUCCCAAACACUCC